UCCUAUAACUCAGUUGAGUCACUGCACAGCCUGCCACAGACAAUAGAGCUGGGACCAGAAUCUGGACUCAGGAGUGUGGGUUGCCAAAGGCCUAGCUCUUCUAAUGUGCUGUACUGCCUUCCUAAGCAAUGAUGAUGGUAAAAUGUUUUUUUAAAAAAAAGAUAUGCAGACACACCACUGUCAAAGAAAGCCCAGUUUUCUUUUACAAGUUUGCUUCUAUAUUUCAGAUGCCACUAAUGCACUGUCAAUCAGAAAAGGGCAGGAUUUGUAAGUUCCAAUCAACUUAGGGUCACCCUGAGGUCUUUCAACUUCCCUGUACCUAGAAUGAUCUUCCCCCUAGUAGCUGCGCCCUUAUCCUGUCACUCCAUCAGGUCUUUGCUCAAAUGACAUCUGUCAGAAAGACUUGCUCUGACCAUCCUGUGUAAAUCAGCAGCCCCAUCCCCACCCACCAAGCUUUCUGGCUCAACAUACUGUAUUUUUCCUCAGAGUAUGCAUCCCCAUCUGACACACCAUGAGAUAUUUGUCUAUUUGUGUGGUGCCAGUCUUCUGCUCACUAGAAUGUAAGCAAGCUCUAUGAGGGUAGGGAGUUUGCUCUGUUUGUUCACUGAUGUAUCCUCAUUGUCCAGAGAGUGCCUGGCACAUGGCCACCCCCAGUAUGUAUUUAUUGAAUGGAUGAACAAACACAGAAAAGACCAUUCUACAGCUCACAUAGAUGAUUCAUAAUUAAUGCUAUUGGCAGUUCCUCAAUGACUAGAAAAUUUGGAAUAUUUUUCUUCCCCCAAUUUACAUUCCUGGUGUCCAGAAGAUUCCUGCCUUUGCUCACCUUACCACUUCCCAAACUACUCCCUACAACUUCUCUCUUGUUUUUGCCAUAGGUGACUUUUAUCACAAAUCAACCAUAUAGACCUAGAAUUGUUAUUAAUUGUGAAAUUUCUUGCAGCAAAUCAUACGUGUCACCUACAGGCUCCCCAGGAUCUUUGUAGUACUACACACAAUUCAGCACACAACUUAUAGAUUAAAAAGAAAAACUUGUAUUGCUGAUUUCUUCACAUUACCAAACUUGCCUACUCUGAUAGCUUAUGUUUGGAGCAUUUAUUAAGGGCCCUGUAAGUUAGAUGCUGAUAGAAUAAUAUAAUACACGGACACUCUUGUAUUGCCUGCAGAGCUCUCAGUCCUAGUUUUGCAGAUCAGAUCUGCACCUGAAGCCACUCAAACACUUCACACCCAAAGCCAAGUGCUACAGAAGCCUCCGUGAAGAACAAUGUAGAAGUGUUUGUAAAGGAGCAAUAACACUGCAAGGCAAGCAUCAGAAAUAGUAAAGGGGACUGAAAGAAUAGAAAAUAAAACAAAAAAAAUCAAAUUUUUUAAAAUAAACAUCGUUGGCCCAUGCCACAUCUUUUCUGGAUUAAGCUAGAUGGACAUUUUGUGAAAGUUCAUUUUGGAGAGUUUUUUGUUUUUGGCCCCAGUUCACCUACUCCAGCCCUCUUGCAUCUCUGUAAAGCCUCUCCUCUCUGUACCUUUUGCUUCACCAUUCAGUGCAUGAGUGUCUUCAACAAAAAACUUUUUGUUGAAAAUUCUAGGAUUUACCUUCUCAUAAUACAAAUUCUCAAAGCUUUAUAAUGAGUCAGAAACUUUCCAAGCCUUCUAACAGAAAGAGCAUUAAAUCAUUAUUUAAUUUUAAAACAUAUGGUUUACUGAAUUCUUUAUUGAUUUUACAAACAAGAUUAUUUGGCUGACUGAGUAUAUGGGUGUGUAUACUUUGCUCUCUCAAAACUGUCAAAUUAGUCUGCACAGGAAGAUGCACCCCUUAUGUUUCAGUCACUCAAGUGCUCUUUAUCUCUAACAGUCUGAGCUUCAACAGGGACUGUUUUAUCCUCUUACUCAUGUGAAUGUGAAUAGGAAGUCUAUACAGGUGCUGGUUUGAGUAAUGGAAUUUACGACAGACCCAGCCUCUGUUCUAUCAAAUUAAGGAUACAGAUGGCCCUUUGAAUACAACAACAACAAAAAAGUGAGGCAAGAGUAGAAUCUGAAGGGACACCCAUAAAACCAAGGUGACAUAGGCAUUUACUACACCAAAAAGAAAGGUUGUUUAGAUUUGUUGCCAGAACGUAAAAAAAGAAAAAUGUGUGUUCCUCAUUUUCCUGGCUCUGCAGCUUAUAUUUUCAACAUCUUUGUGAGGGCUUCUGUUGCCAUUGCAUUACUUUCUGGCUGUCUGGAUGGGUUGCUCUGGUGUGGAGCGAGCAUCCUCACAAUGAUCCCACACUGUCUGCAGGCCACUCCUGAUCUUCCACAAUGUAUUUCUGAUGCCCACAAAUGGCCAUGGGCUUGUUUCUUCCCUGACGUAGCCUUGUCUACCGUGUGAGGGAGUGAGGUCCCACACACUGGAUCUCAAAGAAGGUUCAAACAUACACUUAAGCAUUCCUGUGAUAAUUGCCAACCCAUGGGGGACAGUAGGAGACUAUAAAUUGUCCUGUCUGGCUAUGUCAUUCCCUCAUACUGCAGAGUAAAGCAAGACCUUGGGGAGGUAGAGGUUAGAAGCAGGGGCCUCAGAAGGUGACUGUGGAGUGUCCUCUUUCCCUGAGGUACCUCUAUUUGCCUCCUUUGUCUGUAGCCCUCUCAAUUUAAUCUCAAUAUUCUGGCUCCCAGG
rnacentral:lncRNA from 1 species